UGCGCGUUUCGUAUGUCAACUCGCAGAUUGACACGCCAAAAGGGAGCCCAGAGGAUCUAAUCAGCCUGGACAAUGAUUCCUUCCUCAACAGCCUUGAAUCCAUGACCAUCCAGAAUCUGUGGACUGACAACAUCCGACACACGAAGUUGUAGCUGUAUCUCAAGGGACACGCUCAUUCAUCUCAUCAUGACGAUGCCUUUGCCUGGCGUUGUCUCCUUAUGUCUUUACUCUGAGUUGAGUUUAAGUUCUUGUUCUCAUUACUGAAACACCUUCAGAUAUGUUCUCUCAGUGAUAAGAACACUUUUAUAAAGACCUGAUGUAGAUGUUCUUUUUAGAAAAGACAGUCUCUUCCAAAGUGAUCUAAUCAUUUGAGAAUGUUGCUUACUAAAUGCGGGAAUGUGAAUUAUUGAGAAAUUCCUUUUAAAAUCAUGAAGAAUGAAGCUACAUAGAUGAAAUAGAAAGGAUCCUAUAUGAGAGACCUUGCUGACAGGCCAUUCUGAGGAAAUUAUGAUGUCGCAUGCAUAUUUUCAUAAUUUGAUUCACUUACAGAAAAUAUGAUGAUAAUAUUGAAAGUGCAUAAUUAUAGUUUAUCCUCAACAUUUCACAUUUAUCAUUAUGAUUAUUAAUACAAGAGUUUUUCAUUUUUAAGAUGUCGUCAGUGUUUAUUACAAUUGAUGUCAAUGAAUAUAAAUGUGUUACUUUCUGAACCACCACUUUUUCAGUGUUUUAUUCAUAGAAUAAACUAUGUGUAGUCACCAUGUUCUGAGCACAGAAAAUUAACCUAGAAGUGCAAAACUUCAAAGAGCAUUGUAAGAUUUUUCUUUUUUUUUCUUUUUUUUUUAGACAUACUUGAUUGGUGAAGAUAAAUGCCCUGUAUGUCAAGCUAUGCCAGUCCGAUUGCUUUGGUUAUUAGCAUGUAAUUGUGAAAGGUGACUAGAGGCUGCGGUAGAUACAUAAGUAAAUGUGUAGAGUACAGUAUACGUCAGGAAUAUUGAUUCUUCACUACUGGGAAUCUAAAAUUUGACACUGUAUAGUACAGGAAAAGAUGGUGCCCAUUGUUAUAGGACAAUUUUUAUUCAAUAAUUUAAACAGCAGAGAAAAGUAUGAUAUGAUUUCUGCCAGAUAGUUAGGUAUUUUAUUAGAUGCAAUUAACUGUGCUGUUUUAUUUUUUUAUUAUUAUUGUUUUGUCCACGUUAGAUAAACUAAAGUUGUUUGCCGUAGGUAGUUUCCAGUGUUUGAAUACGUUUUACAUAUCCAAAGAUUAUCACCGAUAGAUGCUGAGGAAUAUUACUCAAAUACCAGUUUUUAUGCUAUAAGCUUUGUUGUUCUAGCCAUUGUUGUGUGUAUUAGAAAGAUUUACUACAAAUAUUUUAGGACGUUUGCAGGCUUUGAGUCCAAAUGCAGAGUCCCAGAGCAAUUUUGAUUCUCUCUAUGGGAGGUCAGUUAGGCUUUCAUCUUCAUGAUAACAGACACUUUUUUGAUAGUGCUGUCUAUAAAUUUUAUAUUACACCAUCCAGAACCUAUGAUUGUGUCCUACAAUGCUACACCUCCAUAAUCUUGUAGUACAGUGCUAGGAAUGAAAAAAAUGUGUGUGAAUGAAUGUAUGUAUGUAUGUAUAUAUGUGUGUAUGUAUAUGUAUGGACGGAAUACACAGUGACAAAUGUUUUGAAUAGUUAUCAAUAUGGAAUAGUUUCAUAGAGUAAGAUAUAUAACUGAAUUUCAGUAUUCACUGUCUUCGUGAAUAUUGAGAUGUAACAAUUUGCAGUCUAAAAUUGUUCAUUCUUAAUUCAUAACGCUUUCAACCCUGUUUGUCUGUGUGUACGGCGUUUUUGUUCGUGUUUGUGCGUGUAUGCAUAUUUGUGUGGAAAUGUGAGUAUUUGCCGGUUUGUUCCAGGCAUAAUGUUUACCUUAGAUAGUAAGGUAUAUUAGUAAUCUAGUACCAGUUAAGGGUUGAAAUAUAGAAAGCCGCAUCGUAAGUCAUAUCUCUCCUCUUGGUAAUGGCUGAGGUGGGGCAUCCAACAUCCGUGGCCAAGUGUUCAGUAUUUUAUGUAUAUAUAAAGAUUAUAUGAAGAUGACGUUACCUUAACCCUAAUAGAUCAGUGAAGUGUGCGUGCAUGCAUGUAUGUGUGCUGGGAUGUUUUAUUGCAUCUAGUAAAUUGUAAUUUCUUUUUAUUUCUUUUAAAUUAUUUCAGAGUGAUUGGUUUUGCAAACAUCUCUUAUUGCAUCUCAAAAGUAAUAUUUAGAUAUAAAAAAAACAAAAAUACUUUCAUAUGGAAGUGAUUUAAUCAUAUUAUUCCCAAACAAUUUGGAAGCUAUAAGUUGUGAUCCUAUUGUCCAAUUUAGGUAGAAAAAAGGUUCUCUUAAACUGAAUUUGGUAUGAAAUCAUUAAUAUUCUUUCUGUUAUGUAUGUCUAAAUAGCUGCAAGAGAUGUGAUUUCUCUCAUUCUUAUUUUGUAAAUAGCUUUUAACGAAGACUUUAUUUCUGAAAAGAAAUAUUUAGGAUUUUUUUUUAUAUAUAUCUGAAAAUCAUUAGUAUUAACAAGGGCAGAAAAAUCUGUAAUUGUGGUUUAAGCAGGUCUCCCUCACAUGAAUCUGAACACUGACUUUCAUUAAUAUGUUUCUACUUAAUCUUUUUAAUUUUUUUUUUUUCUCUGUAUUUGAGAUCAAAAGAGAAACUGGUUUUUAUUUUGUAAAUAGCAAUUAGAUGAAUUUCAUAUGAAGUUAAUAUCUCUCCCAGUCACAAUGAAUAGAUGAAAAAAAGGGAAAAAUUAAUAUAUAAUUAUAUAUACAUGUGAGAUUUAAGAUAUAAUGAAUUGCAGUGAAAAUGAGGUUAAGGGACAAAGGCAGAUUUCUCCACAGUAUCGAGUCUUCAAAUUAGUUGAUCCAGAAAGCUGUUUGUUAACCCUUUUGGCUGUACCUCGCGUUGUUCUUCAGGCUAAAACUCAUGGUACUAAAUAAAUAGAGAGAGAAAAAAAAAAUCCUUCUAUAUGCAUAACAUUAAAAAAAAAAAAAGAGUUACUUAGAUCUUUCGUAGAGUUCACACACUGUACAGUUUUAAAUGAAGUUCAGUCCCUCAUCUUAGCCUAGAACCCAUUAGCUGUACAUACUGCAAUCAUAAGUGGAUGCAAAGGAUAUUACAUGUUGAGAAAUGUACCUCAAGUAAAAUGGCCAGUUGCCAAAGAGAAUUUCUCCUGCAUUGUAACUCUAAAUGAAUGUCAGUGCUCUUUCCUGUGAAAUGAUAUUUUUGUGAUAUUUGUUGAUCAUUUACCAACAAGAGAUAUAAUACUGUAACUCCAAUUAAAAAAAAAUUCCUUAGAAGAAUGAAACAAAUGAAAAUGCACAGCAGUUCAACAGCUACUGUAAUGAUUUGUGUUAAUCCACUUCGGUGAACUGUAAUCUCGAACCUUGUAUGUCGUCUAUCUCCAUCUUCUUAAUAGAUUCCAUGAUAUUAUAACCAAUUCCAGAACUCUGUUACCAUAUUUCUUGACAUAAUUUAUUUGUAACCUAUAUAUGCAAAUAUAUUAUUUACUUCUACAAGGGGAGGAUUUCUUGUAUAUUACAAAAGUCACAUACUUUGUAUUAGUCUUUUUUUAUUAUUCUCAAGUUUCUGAUUUCUGCAGAUUUGACAGUGAUAAAAACAACUCCUGCAAAUCCUCUUGGCAUUCUCUUGAGGAGAGUGUUGCAAUAAAUAUUUUGAAGCCAAUUUCUUCCAGUUUUCUCUUCAUAUAACUAUAAUUUUCAUUAUUUAUGGCAUAACUCUAAUGUCCUGAUAAUCUGACAGGCUUUGGCAUCAAUGAUCUCCUAAAGCAUACAGAUCUUGUUAAUUACAGCUGACCCACACUUGGGUUCAGCUACCUACGAGCAUAUACUGGCAGUAUUUACAUUUUUUAGGAUAUUUUGAACCCUGUUACAUUCUUGAGAGCCGCUGUAAUACGUAGUUAAGCGGUCUCUCUUAGCUUAUAUCCUUAAUGAUAAGCUAAACUAAAUCUUCCCCUAAAUAUUUGCUUCACUUCGGUGAGUACAAAACCCUGGGCUUCGACAUGUGAUAUUAACCCGUUCCGAAACCACCACAAACAACAGGGAUCCUUGCUGCUAAUGUGUUGGGUCAUGCAAAGUUAGAAUAAAUGCUUGAUUAUUUAUUUUCAAAAAGAUGGUAAAGAUAUGAAAAUUAAUUAGAAAAAAGUAUAUACAAGUAUAUAUGGCUAUUCGUGUAUUAUACAAGUUCUUUUGAGUUUACAAAAUUGAACUUUAUGAAAUGACCCAAUGCAAGAGGCAAGCUUGGAGCUACCAAUGUAUAUCUGGUGGAAGUAUUCAAUACUAUUUCUAUAUCCUGUUUUCGAUGUUUACAUGAUGUCAGUUUUCAAACCAAAGAUGUAUAGUUUUAGGAAUGAAGUUGAAAGAAAUAAAAUAUUAUGGCCUCAUGGGCAUUAUGCAAUA